AUUGAACGCUGGCGGCAUGCCUUACACAUGCAAGUCGAACGGCAGCACGGGAGCAAUCCUGGUGGCGAGUGGCGAACGGGUGAGUAAUAUAUCGGAACGUGCCCAGUCGUGGGGGAUAACGUAGCGAAAGCUACGCUAAUACCGCAUACGAUCUAUGGAUGAAAGCGGGGGAUCGCAAGACCUCGCGCGAUUGGAGCGGCCGAUAUCAGAUUAGCUAGUUGGUGGGGUAAAGGCCCACCAAGGCGACGAUCUGUAGCUGGUCUGAGAGGACGACCAGCCACACUGGAACUGAGACACGGUCCAGACUCCUACGGGAGGCAGCAGUGGGGAAUUUUGGACAAUGGGCGCAAGCCUGAUCCAGCAAUGCCGCGUGCAGGACGAAGGCCUCGG
rnacentral:rRNA from 1 species